GGCUCAGAUUGAACGCUGGCGGCAUGCCUUACACAUGCAAGUCGAACGGCAGCACGGGUGCUUGCACCUGGUGGCGAGUGGCGAACGGGUGAGUAAUAUAUCGGAACGUACCUUAUCGUGGGGGAUAACGCAGCGAAAGCUGUGCUAAUACCGCAUAAGCCCUAAGGGGGAAAGCAGGGGACCGUAAGGCCUUGCGCGAUUAGAGCGGCCGAUACCUGAUUAGCUAGUUGGUGAGGUAAAGGCUCACCAAGGCAACGAUCAGUAGCUGGUCUGAGAGGACGAUCAGCCACACUGGGACUGAGACACGGUCCAGACUCCUACGGGAGGCAGCAGUGGGGAAUUUUGGACAAUGGACGCAAGUCUGAUCCAGCCAUUCCGCGUGCAGGAUGAAGGCCCUCGGGUUGUAAACUGCUUUUGUACGGAACGAAAAGGUCUCUCUUAAUACGGGGGGCUCAUGACGGUACCGUAAGAAUAAGCACCGGCUAACUACGUG
rnacentral:rRNA from 1 species